CAGUAGCCACGGUAAUACGAAGGGUGCAAGCGUUACUCGGAAUUACUGGGCGUAAAGCGUGCGUAGGUGGUGGUUUAAGUCCGUUGUGAAAGCCCUGGGCUCGACCUGGGAAUUGCAGUGGAUACUGGGUCACUAGAGUGUGGUAGAGGAUAGUGGAAUUUCCGGUGUAGCAGUGAAAUGCGUAGAGAUCGGAAGGAACAUCUGUGGCGAAGGCGACUAUCUGGGCCAACACUGACACUGAGGCACGAAAGCGUGGGGAGCAAACAGGAUUAGAUACCCCUGUAGUCCCUGUCUCUUAUAC
rnacentral:rRNA from 1 species